rnacentral:tRNA from 1 species
GGAUGUGGUUCAGUUGGUAGAAUGCUCACUUAGCCUGCAUGGAGGCCUGGGUUCAAACCCUAGCACCA